rnacentral:rRNA from 1 species
CAGCAGCCACGGUAAUACGAAGGGGGCUAGCGUUGCUCGGAAUCACUGGGCGUAAAGGGUGCGUAGGCGGGUCUUUAAGUCAGGGGUGAAAUCCUGGAGCUCAACUCCAGAACUGCCUUUGAUACUGAAGAUCUUGAGCAUGGGAGAGGUGAGUGGAACUGCGAGUGUAGAGGUGAAAUUCGUAGAUAUUCGCAAGAACACCAGUGGCGAAGGCGGCUCACUGGCCCAUAACUGACGCUGAGGCACGAAAGCGUGGGGAGCAAACAGGAUUAGAGACCCCAGUAGUCCCUGUCUCUUAUAC